GUAUUUAGUAGCGCAACGGAUAGCGCGUUGGAAUUCUAGUCCAAAGCUUGUGGGUUCAAACCCUAACUGGAAUG